GAUGAACGCUGGCGGCGUGCCUAAUACAUGCAAGUCGAGCGAACGGACGAGAAGCUUGCUUCUCUGAUGUUAGCGGCGGACGGGUGAGUAACACGUGGAUAACCUACCUAUAAGACUGGGAUAACUUCGGGAAACCGGAGCUAAUACCGGAUGAUAUUUUGAACCGCAUGGUUCAAAAGUGAAGGACGGUCUUGCUGUCACUUAUAGAUGGAUCCGCGCUGCAUUAGCUAGUUGGUAAGGUAACGGCUUACCAAGGCAACGAUGCAUAGCCGACCUGAGAGGGUGAUCGGCCACACUGGAACUGAGACACGGUCCAGACUCCUACGGGAGGCAGCAGUAGGGUAUCUUCCGCAAUGGGCGAAAGCCUGACGGAGCAACGCCGCGUGAGUGAUGAAGGUCUUCGGAUCGUAAAACUCUGUUAUUAGGGAAGAACAUAUGUGUAAGUAACUGUGCACAUCUUGACGGUACCUAAUCAGAAAGCCACGGCUAACUACGUG
rnacentral:rRNA from 1 species